GGGAGCGGGGGCGGCGGCCCUGCCCGCCCCGGGGGCGGAGAGGCCCCCGCCGGGGUGCCGCCGCGCCGCGGGGCCGUCCCGGAGCGCCCUGGCGCCGGCUGCCCGCGGCCGAGCGAGCGGGGCUGGUCCUGCCCGCUCGGCUUGCCUGUGCCGGGAGCUUCGCUGGGGUGCUAGGCAGGGCCCCGGGUCUCCGCCUGGCCGUGCCCCCUCCGGGGAAGGCCUGGGUGGGGUGUCGGGUUUUUCACGGGCCUCGUGACUUUGUUACACUUCUCUGUAAUUGCCCCUCAAAUAAAAUAGCAGUUCUCGUAGAAAAGCAGUUUGUAAACGUGAAGUCUUUGUGUGCUCUUUAAACGGUUAGGCCUGCUCGGUUUUCUUACACUUACUUGAAAAAAAAGUCUGUGUGGAGACCUUGUUUGUGGUGUUUAAGGGCAAUAUUAAUUUCAAUGUUCUCACUCGUUAAGGGUGUCAGAGUUUGAUAUUCCCUGUGGCUGAGAGCUGUGCUGUACUUGCUGGUCGUGGGCGUGCCAGCCUUUUGUCUUGGAGAGACUGGGGGGUUCUAACGUGGUAAUCUUUGGUUUAGAAGUAAUUCUGCGGGUUUUAGUAACUUUACAUCUUAGUUUUUAACCUUCUGAUAUCAUCUACAAUCUGCAUUGUGUUAGAGCUCGUUUUAAAUUAGUUCACCUUGUUCUAUGAGAAGUAACAUCUCCCCCUUCCAUCUCUUGUAAAAAGAGUUAAGAGGUGGUUGGUGCUUGGUUAAGGGUAUAAUGGAGUUGCAGAUGCAGGUGGUUUAAAGUAGUCACAGGUUGAUGAACUGCAGCUACAGGGGGCUCUGAAAGCAGUUCCUAUGUGUUUUCUCUGCUGGUGUCUCUUUAGUGGCAACUGGGUGGUAGUUCUGUAAUGCAGUGUAUGUUUCUUUUCAUCUAGACUGAAGUUCAGACCAAGUUACUUCUCAUAAUGUAUGAAUUAACACUCUUUUGGAUAGAUGUAUUAUUUGUAAGUGGUGUUAGCAGUUACUGCACUGUAUGCUUUGUAUUUCUUCUGGAUAGGAUAAUAAAUGUUUACUUAUCUCUCAAUUUCACCAGCAGUAAAGUGCUCUGUACUGUUAAUGUGUGCUCUACAGCUGCAAGGGAGGAGCGGCUGUAUGCUGAAUUUGAGAAACCUGUGAUCUCAGUCAUCUUCUGUACUCUACAGUCAGCUGUCAUUCUCAAGUGAGAGAACAGGUAGAAUUUUGCAGUUGUAGAGCAUAUAUAUGGAUGACUUAAAUUUAUGUGGAGGCCUCUUGCUGUUGUGUGCACAUUUUGAAGGGAAACAUCUCCUCUGGAGGAGAGAGUGCCUUGUGUUGUCCAGUGGAUACCAUUCUGGUCAGACAAAAGUCACUGGAGGGUCUUAAGGACUUCGGCUGCCAGCUUGAAAUGAGAAUAACAUAAUAAUGAACCUUAUUCUGGUGGACAAAUGUAAUUCAUAUUCAUGAGCCUUUAUGUAGUGAUUGAUGUUAUUGAAGUACUCAUGGGCCAAGAGAAUUCAACUAGCACUAAUGUGAAUGUUUUCUAAACACUAUUAAACUUACUGGGUUCAUGGGGCUUGCAAAUUGCUGACAUUGCUUUGUAUUAAAACUGCAAAUAAAUAAACUUUAUUCCUGUAAAUGAAAA